GGCACAGAGCACAGCUUCCCCUGUGGUCUCUCUAGAUCUCUAAGGGACCUUCCCUGGGGCACUAUGCUCCACAGCAAAGCCAGUCCCCCUGAGGCCCAGCUCAACACCCCAACUCUUCCUCCAGUGACUCUUACAGACCCCAGCAGGCUAAGGGUAGGAGGGGGGUCCUGAAUCUUAGAAGAAACCCUGAGGCGCUGCACUGGCAGCCUCAUCAGAUCUCAGCGAAUGGUGAGGAGGGGACAGUGUCCUCACUCGGCUCUGAGGAAGCAUCCAUCUGGACACCUGCAGCUGCCAGUAAGACUCUGGAGAUAGCUCUAGGAGGAAACAACUAAAGGAGGAGUAAACAAUGUUGGACAGAGACUCCAACAAGCACUGUUUGAA